GAUGAAGAACGCAGCAAAAUGCGAUAAGUAAUGUGAAUUGCAGAAUUCAGUGAAUCAUCGAAUCUUUGAACGCACAUUGCGCCCGCCAGUAUUCUGGCGGGCAUGCCUGUUCGAGCGACAUUUCAACCCUCAAGCACAGCUUGGUGUUGGGACUCGCGUUAAUUCGCGUUCCCCAAAUUGAUUGGCGGUCACGUCGAGCUUCCAUAGCGUAGUAGUAAAACCCUCGUUACUGGUAAUCGUCGCGGCCACGCCGUUAAACCCCAACUUCUGAAUGUUGACCUCGGAUCAGGUAGGAAUACCCGCUGAACUUAAGCAUAUCAAUAAGCGGAGGA
rnacentral:misc_RNA from 1 species